GAUGAACGCUGGCGGCGUGCCUAAUACAUGCAAGUCGAGCGAACAGACGAGGAGCUUGCUCCUCUGACGUUAGCGGCGGACGGGUGAGUAACACGUGGAUAACCUACCUAUAAGACUGGGAUAACUUCGGGAAACCGGAGCUAAUACCGGAGAAUAUAUUGAACCGCAUGGUUCAAUAGUUAAAGACGGUUUUGCUGUCACUUAUAGAUGGAUCCGCGCCGCAUUAGCUAGUUGGUAAGGUAACGGCUUACCAAGGCAACGAUGCGUAGCCGACCUGAGAGGGUGAUCGGCCACACUGGAACUGAGACACGGUCCAGACUCCUACGGGAGGCAGCAGUAGGGAAUCUUCCGCAAUGGGCGAAAGCCUGACGGAGCAACGCCGCGUGAGUGAUGAAGGUCUUCGGAUCGUAAAACUCUGUUAUUAGGGAAGAACAAAUGUGUAAGUAACUAUGCACGUCUUGACGGUACCUAAUCAGAAAGCCACGGCUAACUACGUG
rnacentral:rRNA from 1 species